rnacentral:rRNA from 1 species
GGCUAUAAGAAAUAUUCUCCCCUGAAUGCACCCAAUCUCAUCUGAUCUCGGAAGCUAAGCAGGAUUGGGUCUGGUUAGUACAUGGAUGGGAGACCACCUGGGAAUACCAGGGGCUGUAGGCU